rnacentral:lncRNA from 1 species
UGGAAGAGAAGAGUGUAUUUGAUCGGGAGUAAGGAUGACUUAUCAUUGUAUCCCUUUAUCGGGUGGGAUGGCUCUAUCGGGCGGGAUGGAAUGAAAGUAGUCCCCUCUAUGACCUUGCUUUUCGUUUGAUGCUAGCCUCACCUCGAACUCAACUCUCUAACUCGAGAUCGCCUGUGGAGCUUCAAUUGACGAAUCGGAGAUGAGAUUGAUGCGCUCGCCCUCUUUGCUAACUUGACUUUCCUAAUUUCAUAAACGAACGCAACUCAACUGUCUCGAGUGAAGGAACUAAUGCCAGCCUCUUGUCUGCGUCAGUUCAAGUGAAGGAACUUGCUUUAUGUCCUUAACGAGUUGAGGAGCAAGCUCUAGCUCCUUGUCUUACUCACUCGAUAGUCGUAGCUGCUAUCCCAAUAGUUGUAGCAUGCUUCUCUUAUUAGGAGAGUUUUAGACUUCCUCUCCCUGCUUUAUUCGAU